CGGCAGGUUCCUAAUCUACCCUCGAUAAAAGAGAAAAGGAGGAGAGAGAGGCAUGGAAUGUGGAGAGACGGGGACAACAAGUCACAGCAACUAUAGCCAUCACAGAGCCAACGUUUGCCAUGUGUCACACCAAAGCUGCUUUCAUGCCA